rnacentral:rRNA from 1 species
ACGGGAGGCAGCAGUGGGGAAUAUUGGGCAAUGGGCGCAAGCCUGACCCAGCAACGCCGCGUGAAGGAAGAAGGCUUUCGGGUUGUGAACUUCUUUUGUGAGGGACGAGCAGAAGACGGUACCUCAUGAAUAAGCCACGGCUAACUACGUGCCAGCAGCCGCGGUAAUACGUAGGUGGCAAGCGCUGUCCGGAUUUACUGGGUGUAAAGGGCGUGUAGCCGGGUCGGCAAGUCAGAUGUGAAAUCUAUGGGCUUAACUCAUAAACUGCAUUUGAAACUGUUGAUCUUGAGUAUCGGAGAGGCAAUCGGAAUUCCUAGUGUAGCGGUGAAAUGCGUAGAUAUUAGGAGGAACACCAGUGGCGAAGGCGGAUUGCUGGACGACAACUGACGGUGAGGCGCGAAAGCGUGGGGAGCAAACAGGAUUAGAUACCCUGGUA